rnacentral:rRNA from 1 species
UACGUAGGGGGCAAGCGUUGUCCGGAAUCAUUGGGCGUAAAGCGCGUGUAGGCGGCUCGGUAAGUCCGCUCUGAAAGUCCAGGGCUCAACCCUGGGAUGCGGGUGGAUACUGCCGGGCUCGAGUCCGGAAGAGGCGAGUGGAAUUCCCGGUGUAGCGGUGAAAUGCGCAGAUAUCAGGAGGAACACCGAUGGCGAAGGCGGUCUGCUGGGCAGUUGCUGACACUGAGGCGCGACAGCGUGGGGGAGCAAACAGG